rnacentral:rRNA from 1 species
GUCUUUGUGAAACUCUAUAUAAAGUCUGGCCUGCCCAAUGACAAAAAAGUUCAAUGGCCGCGGUAUAUUGACCGUGCGAAGGUAGCAUAAUAAUUAGUUUUUUAAUUGAAAACUAGAAUGAAAGGUUAAACAAGAAGUCAACUGUCUCUGAGCUAAAUCUUGAACUUAACAUUUAAGUGAAAAGGCUUAAAUACUUUAGGGGGACGAUAAGACCCUAUAAAUCUUUAUAUUUAAGCUUAUAAAAUAAAAUAUUAAUACAUUUCUUGUUUAAUAAACUUAAAUAUUUUGUUGGGGCGACAGAAGUAUAAAAUGUAACUGCUUUAAAACAAUAGUUAAUCAUAUUUAGUUAUGCGAUCCUUUAAUAGAGAUAAUAGUCCAAGUUACUUUAGGGAUAACAGCGUAAUUUUUUUUAAGAGUUCGUAUCGAAAAAAAAGUUUGCGACCUCGAUGUUGAAUUAAAGAUCCUUUGCGGCGCAGAAGUUACAAUAGGAGGUCUGUUCGACCUUUAAAUCUUUACAUGAUUUGAGUUCAGACCGGUGUAAA